rnacentral:rRNA from 1 species
UGGGGAAUUUUGGACAAUGGGCGAAAGCCUGAUCCAGCAAUGCCGCGUGUGUGAAGAAGGCCUUCGGGUUGUAAAGCACUUUUGUCCGGAAAGAAAUCCUUGGCUCUAAUACAGUCGGGGGAUGACGGUACCGGAAGAAUAAGCACCGGCUAACUACGUGCCAGCAGCCGCGGUAAUACGUAGGGUGCAAGCGUUAAUCGGAAUUACUGGGCGUAAAGCGUGCGCAGGCGGUUUGCUAAGACCGAUGUGAAAUCCCCGGGCUCAACCUGGGAACUGCAUUGGUGACUGGCAGGCUAGAGUAUGGCAGAGGGGGGUAGAAUUCCACGUGUAGCAGUGAAAUGCGUAGAGAUGUGGAGGAAUACCGAUGGCGAAGGCAGCCCCCUGGGCCAAUACUGACGCUCAUGCACGAAAGCGUGGGGAGCAAACAGGAUUAGAUACCCUGGUAGUCCACGCCCUAAACGAUGUCAACUAGUUGUGGGGAUUCAUUUCCUUAGUAACGUAGCUAACGCGUGAAGUUGACCGCCUGGGGAGUACGGUCGCAAGAUUAAAACUCAAAGGAAUUGACGGGGUC